CAGAAAUUCCUUAAAGUGGCCUUCAAAUGUCGAAUCUGAGCCUAGUCCAGAGGAUUAUUUGUAAGGAGUAAACUAAGGGUGAGCUUAAAAAGCUCAGUCUGAGUCCAUACAGUAUAACAUUCAAUCAAUUAAACAAACAUUCAUUUAUUACAUAGUUCAACCAAUCUGUCAUGGCAUUACAACAUAUGAGUAUGACAUGCUAAAUGUUUCAAUGCAACAAUCCUACACAUUCAUCCGCUACACACCACAAGUUCCCCAGAACCCAUUAACCGAACUCCAAAAUAGUAUGGGCUUAAGCCCGUUGUGGUUAAAACCACCAAUAUCAAUAUGCAGAUAGAACUACUAGUAAAAAUUAAUUGCAGGCAAGUUGUAGUAUAAAUGCGAUAAAUCGCCCAAACACCUCAAAUCUCCGCUGCAGUACAUUGGCAGUAGUAAUGCGGACUUUAAAUGCCGCCUAGUUCUCCACAGAACUCCUCCGCUAACCUCAAAAACCCAUUCCAUGCAAAUGCAAUUUUGACAUACCAUCAGUAAAGCACAUCAUGAUUAUUAGUAAAGUUUUGAUAUAGUGGCAUGCUUAUCAUGCUUUUCAGUAAAUAAUAACAGUGUACAUCUAACAUACUUUCAAUAAUCAAAAUCAGUGGCAUAUGUACAUGCUUUUAAUACGGUUAAAAUUAAAUAUGGCACGUAACAUAAUUUCAUACAUAUCACAAUUUCAGUCAUGGCAACAUAGACACACGUAAACAAGGAUACAUAACCUAUCAUGUUAUAUUUGCAUUCAGCUCACACAUUUGUCACCCAAAAACAAUGUUUAACAAUCAAUUUUUGAAAUAUUUGUGUACCUGAUUCGGCACCCCACUUAUUAACAUUUAGGUCAUUCAGUCAAACAACAAUCACCAAGCAAACAAUAAUAUUUAAGUAUAUUAAUUUAAAUUUAAUUUAUUUAGUUUCAGGGAAGACCCCCACCUGAUUAACAUGAGUAUGAAGUCCUAACUUAGCACUGCAGCUCCUAGGACUGAGAUCCAACUAAAUUUCAUUUAGAUCUAUACAUUUCUAAGAAUAACAUGAGUUAGAACUAGCCCAAAAUAACCCUAUAGGGUUUGACCAUAAUAGGGAAAAUAUAGUGACCACUUAGAUUCAUUUUUAGGAUUCCUACUUACUUUGUUUCGACUAACAAUAGAGACACGAACAACUUCUUUUAUCACCACUAAUUUGGAAUGUUUAGAUUCAUCCCUUCAAUGAGAAUAAUUUACAAAAUCAAUAUAAGAAGAUUGACUAAAGCAUUAAACAUAAUCGAUCAAAAAAAAAAAAGAAGGGACACAACGUUAAAUCUUAUUAGAAUCAACACUUACACUUUACCUGUUUCAGCUCUAAAAUGAAUGAUAGACAAGUAAUGACCUGAAUAACCACCACGAGGGCCAAGGAGUUUUGGACAAGGGUGAGAAAACACAAAAACCAGAAAGAUUAGGAUCAAGAGAAGAGAAAACAAUAGUGAAAGUGACAGCCAUGAUAACUAGAGGAAGAAAGAGGAAGAACAACACAAAAAUAAAAAGAAAGCUAGACUUGGGUGGAAACAAUAGAGAAGGGGAAAAGAAAGAAAAGAAAAUAGAAAGCAAGAGAAGAGAGAGACGACACAAAAGGAAAAAAGAAGAGAAAUGAUGACCUC
rnacentral:lncRNA from 1 species